AGACUUACCUGGAAGGGCUGAUACCACGAUCAAGACUUUGGUUUAAGGUGAGGUUCAGCCAUUGCACUCGUGCUGUCCUGACGUUUGUGAAUUCCCCGAAUGUGGGAAUCUCGACUGAAUGAUAUCUAAUUUUAGGGGCCGGCGUUCAUGCGCUUUCCACAA